UACGUAGGGUGCAAGCGUUAAUCGGAAUUACUGGGCGUAAAGCGUGCGCAGGUGGUUUGUUAAGACAGUUGUGAAAUCCCCGGGCUUAACCUGGGAACUGCAAUUGUGACUGGCAGACUAGAGUGAGGCAGAGGGGGGCGGAAUUCCUGGUGUAGCAGUGAAAUGCGUAGAUAUCAGGAGGAACACCGAUGGCGAAGGCAGCCCCCUGGGCCAUCACUGACACUCAUGCACGAAAGCGUGGGGAGCAAACAGG
rnacentral:rRNA from 1 species